GGACAGAGCAGUGCUCCUGUGGCUUCUGUGUAGACUCCAGCGACUCCUAGUCUGGCUCUUAUUACGUGCAUGAUCUUAUCUACUGAAUAGGAAAAUCUGAGGCUAUGACAACAAAAGAAAUGAUCAUGAUGCCUAAUACAUAGCUUCCAGCCGGCUCCCGCGCAAGAAGCCAAUAAAUUUGCCCCGCGACUUCCAGGUCUCUGUUUCGGAUUACCGAGCACGACCGCACGGCUGGGACACCAAUCCAAGCAUUCAUCUGACAGAUAAUGGGAGAACAGGCCUCAGCUUUGUGCCCAGUUGGAAUGCAAAAAAUCUAAAUCAUGCUUGUGUCCUUGUUGGGAGCUGGCAUCGUGGAAGAAGCCAGGCUCUGUCUGCUUUGGAGCAGACGGGCUGGAAUCACAACUCUCAGCUUUACCAGCUGGACAACCUCAGGCAA